CAGGAGGAGCUGGGGGGGUAUCACGUGAACACUCGUGAACCCUCCGGGGACGGGCUUAUCCAAUCACGUAGCUGGUACUUUGUAAAUGCUCCGUAAGGCGCGUUAUUUGUUACUCCUCAGUUUUGUGUAUUUUCUCACAAUUGGUCUUGUUUUGAAAGACCAGAGUUCUACCAAACUGUUACAGAGAUAUGUCUUCAUCGUUGGAGAGAGAUUCUUGUGACCAGUUUGAUGUCAACAACCGAGCAGUGCAGUAACUGUAGGAGUCAGAGAGUGGAGGUUUCAAUGCAGACCCUGGGAUUGGAUUCAGAUACUUUCAUGACACUAGGAAAUGUCUGAGACAAAUUCUACAAUGCUGGGUUAUAAUAGAUUUAGCUCCAUUUGUACUUGUGAAUGUAAGUUUCAUAUGUGUCCUAGUGUAAACAUGACAGUUCACUGCUGUGUCCCAGAUAUCUACUAGUAAUGUUCCCACUCCUAUAGUUUAGCAUUUUACCAUUUCCAGUGGUCAUAAGUUAUAAUAUGUUGACUCCCAGUAUUUCAAAUGCAAGUUAUACAAAUUUAUAUUCUACAAUCUUAGGGUUAGGCAUAUGUGUCCUAGUGUAAACAUGACAGUUCACUGCUGUGUCCCAGAUAUCUACUACUAGUAGUAAUGUUCCCACUCCUAUAGUUUAGCAUUUUACCAUUUUCAGUGGUCAUAAGUUAUAAUAUGUUGACUCCCAGUAUUUCAAAUGCAAGUUAUACAAAUUUAUAUUCUACAAUCUUAGGGUUAGGCAAAGUCAUUCUCUUGUUGAAAAGAAUGUCUCCAACUCCAAUUUCUUCUUAUAUUCAAGUUUUUAUUAUCAUUGAAUAUCACACAAGACAAAAAGUGUUGUAGCUUAUAACAUAAGAUAUGUUGACUAUUAGUAUUUCAAAUACAUAUUUCUUGCAACUUCAUGUGUCCAACACUGGCUGUCAACAAAUAUAACUAAACGUUAAAGAUACAUGAAAUUUUUUCCAUCAUCUUCUUUCAUAGAUGUGUUAUAAUUGGCUCUUUGCACAAAGUUAAAAGGUAAAGCUUGAUUCUGUGCAGAAGCGCAAACUACAAUCCACUCUACAUGUCAUCUUUAGGCGAUACUGCACUACAAGCUAUAUACUCCCAUCACAAAACUGCUGUCUAUUUCAUAAUGUGAUCAAGGCAUACAGGAAUACAUAAUGGUGAACUGUUGUAAGAAAUGGACUUUUGGCAAACCUGUAUCACUCGAUGAAUGUGAACAAUAUACAAAAUAUACAUAUGAUCUGUAUGCAAUCUA